rnacentral:rRNA from 1 species
AUACGGAGGGUGCAAGCGUUAUCCGGAAUCAUUGGGUUUAAAGGGUCCGUAGGCGGGCUAUUAAGUCAGAGGUGAAAUCCCACAGCUUAACUGUGGAACUGCCUUUGAUACUGGUAGUCUUGAGUUAUAUGGAAGUAGAUAGAAUGUGUAGUGUAGCGGUGAGAUGCAUAGAUAUUACACAGAACACCGAUUGCGAAGGCAGUCUACUACGUAUAUACUGACGCUAAGGGACGAAAGCGUGGGGAGCGAACAGGAUUAGAAACCCCAGUAGUCC